rnacentral:lncRNA from 1 species
UCUAACCUGUGUUCCGUUUCACGCCUUAGCUCGGGUAGAUACCUAUGAGUUUGAUCCAAUUGUAAGAACAUUCACGGCAACCAACAGUUUUGCCAAAAAUCUCGACCGUCUUGUCACCUCUAUCUCCUCACUAACACCCAAACCUUAUGGCUUCUACAACCUCUCUUCUGGAGACUCAUCUGGAGAAAGAGCUUAUGCAAUUGGUCUGUGUAGAAGAGAUGUCAAAAGCGAUGAUUGUCUCAGGUGUAUUCAGACAGCUGCAAGAAACCUCACCGAGCGGAAUCCGCAGAAAAAAGAAUAUGUGAUGUGGUACACGCACUGUAUGUUUCGUUACUCGAACAGGAAUAUAUAUGGAAUAAAAGAAACAUAUCCAACUCUGGCUUUUGUUGCCGUUGAAAAGAUAUCAGGAAACAGAGAUGAGUUUAAGCGUCUGCAGGGAGCACUAUUGAAUAGGCUCAAAGGGAUUGCAGCGGCUGGUGGGCCAAAUAGGAAGUACGCUCAAGGGAACAGUUCAGCUUCGGUAGGGUACCGUAGCUUCUACGGAAGUGCGCAGUGUACGCCGGAUUUGUCUGAAGAGGACUGUAAUGACUGUCUAGCUUUUGGGUUUGAGAGUAUCCCAAGUUGUUGUGAUGGUGAGAUUGGUCUUAGGUGGUUUUGUCCUAGUUGUAACCUCCGGUUUGAGACGUGGCGAUUCUAUGAGCUUGAUGCCGACCUAGAGCCUGAUCCACCUGCAAUUCAGCCACCAGCUGCAAAAUUUGAGAGAACAGGUACAUUGAAACACUUUGGAUGUGUCUCUUGUGUGUCCUGUUGCAAAUGUUUUGUCUCUAUGAUUAAGAAAGUGAAUGUUUUAUUGCAGGAAAGGGCAAAGGUGGAUCUAAAGUCGUUAUUGCAAUAGUCAUCCCGACAGUUCUUGUUGCGUUAUUUGCAAUUUGCUUAUGUUUGGUUUUGAAAUGGAAGAAGAACAAGUCUGAAGAUAGAGUCAAAGGUAACACAACGUUCUUCUUCUUGUCAUUCUUUAUUUUGUAACAGAGGAUAAACUAUAAUGCAGAGAAAUACUGUCUGCAUAUUCAGUUUUUGUGAAUUCGCCUUUAUCAGGAUCAAUUGCCGAGGAUGAGUUAUUGGAUGAAGAUUCGCUGCUGAUUGACUUCGAAACUCUAAAGGCAGCAACAGAUAACUUUUCACCAGAAAACGAACUUGGACGUGGUGGGUUUGGUUCAGUUUAUAAGGUAAAGUUUCUUGGAUCAAGCUUUUUUACCGGUAACUUUGGUUUGUUUAUUUGAACAUCUGAUAAGCUUGGGAUUAUGUCUGUCUCAGGGUGUGUUCUCUUGUGGGCAAGAAAUCGCGGUGAAAAGAUUAUCUGGUACUUCUGGACAAGGAGACAUUGAAUUCAAGAACGAAAUUAUACUUCUUGCAAAGCUUCCACAUAGAAAUUUGGUCAGGCUUUUAGGUUUCUGCAUACAAGGACAAGAAAGGCUCCUUGUCUAUGAGUUCAUCAAGAACGCUAGUCUGGACCAUUUCAUAUUUGGUAAUUUUUUGCCCUUUUUUGCUCCAUAUAUGAUCCCACUAUUCUUUUUCCGCUAUGUAUUGAUCUUUGCGCCGUUGCAGAUCUUGAAAAGCGUCAACUUUUGGAUUGGGGAGUGCGAUACAAAAUGAUCGGAGGAGUUGCUAGAGGACUUCUUUAUCUUCAUGAAGACUCUCGUUACCGAAUAAUCCACCGUGAUCUUAAAGCCAGCAACAUUCUUUUGGACCAAGAAAUGAAUCCAAAAUCGCAGAUUUUGGAUUAGCUAAAGUCUUUGACAUAGGCCAAACCGCGACACAUCGAAUCACAAACAGAAUUGCGGGAACCUAGUAAGUAAAAUUCAUAAUUACUAACUUGUUAAAUCCAAAGAAACAUUGGUAUAAACCGGUUAUGUCAUUUCAUCUUGUAGCGGGUAUAUGGCUCCGGAAUAUGUGAUGCGCGGGCAAUUCUCAGUAAAAACAGACGUGUUUAGCUUCGGUGUAUUAGUCAUUGAGAUCAUUACAGGUAACAGAAAUAGCAAUGGUCGAUCUGAUGAUGAUGAAGAUGCAGAAGGUCUUCUUAGUUGGGUAAGUACACUAAGACCAAACUGGUAACUGUGUUUCAGUAUUGGUCAUCUUCUUAAAUGAACUUGUGAUUCUGUUUUGUCUUCUUCUCAGGUAUGGAGACGCUGGAGAGAAGAUAAUAUACUAAGCGUGAUCGAUCCGAGUUUAACCACGGGAUCAAGAAACGAUAUCUUGAGAUGCAUACACAUUGGUUUAUUAUGCGUUCAAGAGAAGUCAGCGACUAGACCAACAAUGGCUUCGGUUGUUCUCAUGCUCAGUAGAUAUUCCAUUACUCUCCCGACGCCUUCAAGGCCUGCGUUUGUGUAUGAGGAUGCGAUACCUUCAAAUGAUUCUUCUUCAACGGAAGGGUUACAAGUGUCGUUGAAUGAUGUCACCGUUUCUGAGUUAUCUCCUCGUUAGGGGGAGCUUUAUCUGUGACUGUAAUUGCUUUUUGAUUCCUCCUUUUUAAUGUUACCUCCUCGUUAAGGAGCGAACCGAUUUAACCAACAAAGAAAAGCGAACCGAACCGUUUACCCUGGUCUAUCUGUUCACUUAGCACCGGUUCGUUAGUUUUACGGUUCGGCGAAUACCGGUUAUCGCAUGUUUCAACUUGUUUCGACCCGGUCUGGGAUCGAUAGUUUAUUUCACUUACUCCCUUUCUUUGUCCUUAAUUCCUUUUUCUUACCGAACCAAGCCUGUCCUGUGUCCUCAAUCCUCAUACAUGGCGCCCGGGUUUCAACGACGUGGUCUUGAGCUAAAUCUAAUUAGUUUCUUUUCUGUAUCCCAAUUGUUAGACAAAAUUAAGGGGUUUGACCUCCCUGUUGUGCUGAUUCGAUCUUGGGACUCUCAAUUUCAAUGGAUUAAUGGAGCUAUCUAGCCUUACCACAGAUUCUCCUCUCGUCGAGUUUAAGCAAUCCGAUACUCACGGGAGAGAUGUACAGUGUGUUUCAUUACUAGACUUGUCGUGAUUAAUGUAUUCACAGCUUCGACUAGCAGGUACUGAUGUUUCCAUGGCGAGAUUCGAGGUCGAGGCUGUUGAUAAGAGCAACAGAGUUACUCAUCUCUGGUCUGUUCCUCCAAUUUUCCUUUGCUACUAUUUCCUAGCAAAGACCUGUGAAUGAAGUUAUGAUCUUUCUUCAUUGAAGUACGCGAGGGCUAUGUUCCUGUGCUGGAAAUUUUAACAUUUUCCGUGGUUUCUGGUUUGCUUGCAUAUUGCAUUUCUCUCGAUGAAGAAAAUAUUAACACUUUGCGUAGUGAAGUGAACACAUUUGUUUGCCGGUUUGAAAACUGUUUCAGUCAUUUCAGUUCAUAUAGGUAAUUGAGAGGAAAGAAGUAAGCAAUGAACAUUUCUUAUAUUCACACUGUUGAACCUGAUUCGCUGCACCAACUCGUUAGUUUUAUAUUGUAGUUCUAUGAAUCUAUCAUCGUGCAGGACCCAGCAACCUGACAAAGCCUGCCCACUUGUGUCUGCUAAUGAAAUUAUAAUGGUUUUUGGUCAGCAACUUGUGUUCUUUCGGCUGUAAGAUUUUGAAAUAGUUCAAGAACUAUUAGCUUUUUUUUUUAAUGAUUCGAGGUCUAUUAGAUUGAACUUUACCAUAUCUAGACGCCUUACGUUCUGGGGUUUUCUCGUAAACGGUACAUCACAGAAGAAAAAAAAAGCUUCAAGCUUCCAUGGAUUAUCUCAGACUUAUCUUCUUCUUCUUCUUCGCUUGUGUCCUAAUGUUUGUUCCAUUUCUCGCAUUAGCUCAGGUGGAUACCUAUGAGUUUUCUCGAAGCUUCAAAUGUGUAUCUCGUGGAGGCAAUUUCACUGCCAACAGCACUUUCUCCAGCAAUCUCAACAGCCUUGUCUCCUCCCUCUCCUCACUCAAAUCCAAACAUUAUGGCUUCUACAACCUCUCUUCUGGAGACUCAUCUGGAGAAACCGCUCACUCAAAUCCAGUCUAUGCUUGGUCUUGAAGUGUAAGAAGAACAAGUCUAGAGAUAAAGUCAAAGGUAACUACAAUGUUCUUCUUCUUGUUAAUGGUAUUCUGUUAAAAAGGAUAAACUAUAAUCCUGAUAACUACUGUCAGCAUAUUCAGUUCUUGGAAAUUCGCCAUUGUCGGGAUCAAUUGCCGAGGAUGAGUUCUCGAACACAGAUUCUCUGUUAGUUGACUUUGAAAAUCUAAAGGCCGCAACAAAUAACUUUUCUCCCGAAAAUGAACUUGGACGUGGUGGGUUUGGUUCAGUUUUCUCUGUAGAUGAAAUUGAUAUGAAAAACUUUUUUUUGUUCCCUUUCUUAAGAUCCGACGACUUUCCGAUCUGAUAAUUCUUACCUUCUCCAAUUUUAAAAAAAAAAAAUCCUAAAACUGGACAAGAACGUGUAGUUUUCGGUUCGGUUUAUCCCGGUUAUUGUGUGUUUCAAAUUUUAAAUCUGUUUCGACCCGGGCUUGGUUCACACUAUAUCUCCGGCGACUAGUUCUUUUGCUCUCCCCAGCUUUAAAAUCCGCCGUCGCAAGACUCGGUUCCUCUCUGUUUCCUCACCGUCAACGCCAUCAAGGAAAAUCCGAUUUACUAGCCGCAAGUGGUUUCGAAGCAGAUUGAAGAAUCCAAACCCAUAAUCAUCGUUUCGGUUCGACAAAAUCAAACCGAUACAUCCAUGGAGGUCCAGGUUCCUGUGCCAAAGAUAUUAACAUUUUGGAUGGUUUCCGGUUUGCAUAUUGCAGGUUAUAGUGAAGAAGCUACAUUGUAGGUUCCAAUUGCAUUUUUAGUUUUGGCCUUCAGAUUUUAGUUUGACAAGUCUUAUGCCUAAACCAGGAUAUAUAUAGAUGUUUCCUCUUACUUUCGUAGUUUGUAGUAAAGCAAACGCAUUUGGUUUCCCCGGUUUGGCCCCUUAUAAAGUCACAUUCCUAAAUUCUGAAAAAGAUAACUCAUUUAGCGAGUAAGAUCCAUGAUGGGUCUCUACUUAAUACUCUGUUUACUAUUAUUUAGAUUAAUGUAAGAUUGAUUAGUUUGAAGUUCUAGUUGGUGUGAAAAGUAUUCAAAGUGUCAGUUUUUUUUGGUCCCAGUUCAAAUUGGUACUUGGGAGGAAAGUGGUGAGCAAUAAUGUAUAUAAAGUUUUUCUCACCACCGUUGACCCGACUCGCAAAGACUGCCCACUAGUGUCUGCUACUGACUUUUAUAAUCGUGUUUGAUCGGAAAGUUGUGUUUUUUUCUGCUGUCAGAUUUUGAAAUUAUUUCAAACGUCAUAUUAGAUCGACCUUUACCAUAAUAACCAGAAGAAGAAAAAAAAAAGGUUCAAAGAUUCCAUGGAUCAUCUCAGAGUUAUCUUCUUCUUCUUCGCUUGUGUCCUAAUGUUUGUUCCAUUUCUCGCCUUAGCUCAGGUGGAUACCUAUGAGUUUUCUCCAAGGUUCAAAUGUGUAUCUCGUGGAGGCAAUUUCACGGCCAACAGCACUUUCUCCAUCAAUCUCAACAGCCUUGUCUCCUCCCUCUCUUCACUCACAUCCAAACCUUAUGGCUUCUACAACCUCUCUUCUGGAGACUCAUCUGGAGAAAGAGCUUAUGCAAUUGGUCUUUGCAGAAGAGAAGUCAACAGAGAUGAUUGUCUCAGCUGUAUUCAUACAGCUGCAAGAAACCUCACCGAGCAGUGUCCGGUUUCGAAACAAGCCGUUGUGUGG